rnacentral:rRNA from 1 species
GAUGAACGCUGGCGGCGUGCCUAAUACAUGCAAGUCGAGCGAACAGACGCGGCUCUUGCUCCUCUGUCGUUAGCGGCGCGCGUGUGAGUCACACGUGUAUCCCCCACUUGUCAUACUGAUAUCACUUCGAAACACCGGAUCUAAUACCGUAUAAUCUCUUGCUCCGCGUGGUUCAAUAGUGAGAUACGGCUUUUCUGUCUCUUCUCGAUGCUUCCGCGCUGUAUUGGCUAGUUGGUAAGGUCACGGCUUACCACGGCAACGAUGCGUAGCCGACGUGAGAGGGUGGUCGGCGACACUGGAAGGGAGACACGGUCCAGAGUCCUACGGGAGGCAGCAGUAGGGAAUCUGCCGCAGUGGGCGAAAGCAUGACGGAGCAAGGGCGAGUGAGUGAUGGAGGUGUUCGGAUCGUAAAACUCUGUUAUGAGGGAAGAACAGAUGUGGAAGGAACUAUGCACGUCUUGACGGUAACGAAUCAGAAAGCAACGGCUAACUACGUG